GUCCUAUUAGCUAGAUGGUAAGGUAACGGCUUACCAUGGCGACGAUAGGUAGGGGCCCUGAGAGGGGGAUCCCCCACACUGGUACUGAGACACGGACCAGACUCCUACGGGAGGCAGCAGUGAGGAAUAUUGGGCAAUGGAGGAGACUCUGACCCAGCCAUGCCGCGUGCAGGAAGACUGCCCUAUGGGUUGUAAACUGCUUUUAUACAGGAAGAAACACUAGUACGUGUACUAGCUUGACGGUACUGUAAGAAUAAGGACCGGCUAACUCCGUGCCAGCAGCCGCGGUAAUACGGAGGGUCCGAGCGUUAUCCGGAAUCAUUGGGUUUAAAGGGUCCGCAGGCGGUCAAUUAAGUCAGAGGUGAAAUACCAUAGCUCAACUAUGGAACUGCCUUUGAUACUGGUUGACUUGAGUUAUAUGGAAGUAGAUAGAAUGUGUAGUGUAGCGGUGAAAUGCAUAGAGAUUACACAGAAUACCGAUUGCGAAGGCAGUCUACUACGUAUAUACUGACGCUGAGGGACGAAAGCGUGGGGAGCGAACAGGAUUAGAUACCCUGGUAGUCCACGCCGUAAACGAUGGAUACUAGUUGUUGGGCAUUAGCUCAGUGACUAAGCGAAAGUGAUA
rnacentral:rRNA from 1 species